UUUGAAGGAAUGCUCUUGUUAUGUCUACAUCACUAAUCAAUCUAAGUUAAAAAUUCAACAAGACCAAAUUAGCUAGAUAAGUAGGUGGGAGGCUCCUCAUAGCUUUUCUUAGACACCAAUAGAGUUGGCCAGGCCAGCAUAUGGAUCUAAUUAUAAAACCACCUUUCACACUUUUUUCGACACUAAUUAAUCUUAAAAUUCAACUUUUAAUUUAAAAGUGAAUUUCGAUAUUACAACUUAAUAUAAUUUUUAAGAGGGACUUUGAAC
rnacentral:lncRNA from 1 species